rnacentral:lncRNA from 1 species
AAACCCUAAUAUCUACAACCUCCGCCGGAAGAAGUCUACUCAUCUCCACAAGAUCUUAUCCAGAUUUCUUCUAUUUUGCUGGCCAUUUGGUUUCCAGUCGUUCAAAUCUAAGAUGGAGGUUUGGACGUUUGAAGAAAUACAUAAUGCCUUAAAUUAUGCUUCUCAAAACCAUGGAAAGCACAACUAGCUAGGGAAAGCAAAGGUAAUUGCAUUAUGGAGUUAUAAUUUGCUACUACUUUUAGGUCUUGAAUGAGUAGCAUAGCAAUGUGUACUAUUUACCCCAUGUCUACUCAAGUGAUGGCUACACUGCUCAAGAGCAUAUCAUUGAAGGGAUAGGGUUAAUGACAAAUAUGAAGAGGGUCGUGACAUAAGUCAUCUUUUUGAAUUCAUGUUUGGGAAUAUUGAUGGUUUUGGUGAUCUUGAUAUUGAUAACCUUGAUGAGAAGAGGAGCGUCUUGCUACCCUAGCUUAUAUACUUGGAUCAUAUUUUAACAUAUAUGAUGUACACAACUACCAUCUCCUUGAUAUAUUUUUAUACUAUAUAUAGUUUUCUUAGACAAUUAUGAUAAUAAUAUAUUGAAUUCAUGACUUUGAACUUGUAAGACAAUGAUUUGGUUAUGUAGAUUAUAAGUGGAUACUGAUUGAACAAUACGAGGAAUGAGAAAUCCAAGCGUUGACCGAGGAAGACUAUCUCAUACCAAAAUCCGAUUAUGUUUCUACAACAGUAACUUCAUCGUUAGUUACAUCAUCUACAUUGUUUUGAUGAUGAAAAUUAUGAUGAAGAAGAAUUACUGAACAAAUUACGUGUGAUGUGAUAUGUGAUGUGAUAUGUAAUGUCAUUUAUAUUUCGAUUAUUUAUAAUGUUAUAACAUAUCUAAUU